CUCCAUCAAUGAUUGGCUCUUUUACUUAAAGAGUUUGACUCGGUUUCUCAUAUUUUGUCUCUGCUUUCCAAUAAACUAGACAAUGCUCUUCAGGGAGGAAUUAGGCAAUUAGCUAUGCCACCCACAUUAUCUGAGAUACUCUACUCAAAAUCAAAGAAGAAGAACAACAACAACAAGAAGAAGACGAAGAGAGUGAAGUGAAAAAGAGGAAACACGAGUCUGAUGCAGAGCUUAAAGAAGUUUCAUCAUAUGGAGAUAUGAAGAGACUAAAAGAGAGUAAAAUCAUGAACAUGGCUACAAACGUGAACUAUCAUUCUUAAAAGUCUGUUUUUUUUUCCUUUUUCUAAGUACAAAGAUUCAAUUUUUCUAGAUUAUGAUAUCAAUGGCAGUGGAAGCGAAUUUGCUUGCAA